UGUUAACGUAGGGGCGUAGUUCGGAAGGUUGAGGGGGUGUUGCUAAUUGUCCAACCCCUACAUUGUCGUCGUGUGUCUGUUUCGUUAUUAACCUUGUGGUCUUUCGUGGGGAAUACUAUGUGGUAGGCGUCCUCUGUAAUGAGAGUGUUGUUCGUAAGCGCGUCAAUGGGCAUGUUUGUGUUUUCCGCGUCUUUUCACGGCAUGGCCUUUAAGUUUCAGAGGCCUUCGCCAGCGUUCAGAGUUGUGGGUUAUUUACUUAAAUGUGACUGACUGGGGUGGGUAUUGGGGGGGCAGGAAGUGAUGGGAGAGUCUGGGUGUGUGGGUUGGGGUAGGGGAUGAUGGUUGGA